rnacentral:rRNA from 1 species
AUCAUGUUGUUUAAUUCGAUGAUACGCGAAGAACCUUACCAGGUCUUGACAUCCCCGCAAUGCUCUGGAGACAGAGCGGAGGUAGUCCGGGGAGACAGGUGGUGCAUGGUUGUCGUCAGCUCGUGUCGUGAGAUGUUGGGUUAAGUCCCGCAACGAGCGCAACCCUUAUUGCUAGUUACCAUCAUUGAGUUGGGGACUCUAGCGAGACUGCCAGCGAUAAGCUGGAGGAAGGUGGGGAUGACGUCAAAUCAUCAUGCCCCUUAUGACCUGGGCUACAAACGUGAUACAAUGGCUGGAACAAAGGGAGGCGAAGGGGUGACCUGGAGCGAAACCCAAAAAUACAGUCUCAGUUCGGAUUGAAGUCUGCAACUCGACUUCAUGAAGUCGGAAUCGCUGGUAAUCGCGGAUCAGAACGCCGCGGUGAAUACGUUCUCGGGGUUU